AGCGAACGCUGGCGGCAGGCCUAACACAUGCAAGUCGAACGGAUCCUUCGGGAUUAGUGGCGGACGGGUGAGUAACACGUGGGAACGUGCCCUUUGGUUCGGAACAACUCAGGGAAACUUGAGCUAAUACCGGAUGUGCUCUUCGGGGGAAAGAUUUAUCGCCAUUGGAGCGGCCCGCGUCUGAUUAGCUAGUUGGUGAGGUAACGGCCCACCAAGGCGACGAUCAGUAGCUGGUCUGAGAGGAUGAUCAGCCACACUGGGACUGAGACACGGCCCAGACUCCUACGGGAGGCAGCAGUGGGGAAUCUUGCGCAAUGGGCGAAAGCCUGACGCAGCCAUGCCGCGUGAAUGAUGAAGGUCUUAGGAUUGUAAAAUUCUUUCAGCGGGGACGAUAAUGACGGUACCCGCAGAAGAAGCUCCGGCUAACUUCGUG
rnacentral:rRNA from 1 species